rnacentral:lncRNA from 1 species
GGACGGGGCAGCCUGCAGGGGCAGCAGCUACUGCCGUCUCUGCAGCUCGGUGGCCAGGGGUGGAAGGAAGCCGCAGCCGCAACCCCAAGUCACCCCCCGCUGCCCUGUCCCACCGCCUCAUCUCUCCCCCCUCGGUGCUCUUCCAGCUCCCAGAUGGUUGGAUCUUGCAGUGUAAUGUCAGGGACCUCCUAAGGUUUGUUUGUUUGUUUGUUUCUUAUUGUCAAGGAAUGCCAGCACUUUGCCUUCCACUCUAAUACCAUUAAUGGAGAACAUAUUCUUUAAACAUGGAACAUACGUUCACUAAAAUCAAUUCAUAUAGAAAAAUGCAGCACUUUUCAGGAGGAAGGAGAUUAAGGAGAUUUGCAACCUGAGGAAUAAUUGACUUGUGCAUACCUCCUCCAUCCAAAGGAUCAG